rnacentral:rRNA from 1 species
CAAUAGCGUAUAUUAAAGUUGUUGCGGUUAAAAAGCUCGUAGUUGGAUUUCUGCUACCAGCGACCGGUCCGCCACACGGUGUGUAUCUGGUACGCUGUUGGCAUCCUCCUGAAGGACGCUUGCACUUGGUUGUGCGAUGCGGUAUUUCGGACUUUUACUUUGAGGAAAUUAGAGUGUUCCACGCGGGUGUUUGCCUUGAAUAUGUUAGCAUGGAAUAAUAGGAUAGGACUCCGGUUCUAUUUUGUUGGUUUAUAGGACUGGAGUAAUGAUUAAUAGGGGCAGUCGGGGGCAUUCGUAUUUAACUGUCAGAGGUGAAAUUCUUGGAUUUGUUAAAGACAAACUACUGCGAAAGCAUUUGCCAGGGAUGUUUUCGUUGAUCAAGAACGAAAGUUAAGGGAUCGAAGACGAUUAGAUACCGU